UAGGGAAUCUUCGGCAAUGGACGAAAGUCUGACCGAGCAACGCCGCGUGAGUGAAGAAGGUUUUCGGAUCGUAAAACUCUGUUGUUAGAGAAGAACAAGGACGUUAGUAACUGUACGUCCCCUGACGGUAUCUAACCAGAAAGCCACGGCUAACUACGUGCCAGCAGCCGCGGUAAUACGUAGGUGGCAAGCGUUGUCCGGAUUUAUUGGGCGUAAAGCGAGCGCAGGCGGUUUCUUAAGUCUGAUGUGAAAGCCCCCGGCUCAACCGGGGAGGGUCAUUGGAAACUGGGAGACUUGAGUGCAGAAGAGGAGAGUGGAAUUCCAUGUGUAGCGGUGAAAUGCGUAGAUAUAUGGAGGAACACCAGUGGCGAAGGCGGCUCUCUGGUCUGUAACUGACGCUGAGGCUCGAAAGCGUGGGGAGCAAACAGG
rnacentral:rRNA from 1 species